UUUAUUCAUUUUUAUUAAUAAAUUGCAUGAACUUAGAUCAAUCAAAUAAUGAUAUUUCUAUACAUAUGGAAUUAUUCGGCCUAAUCAGUUUGUCCAUUUAGAUUUAUCUAGGUGGAAUAAUAAGAAAAGGUAAGGUUCAAAAGAAUUUACAAAAAAGGGGUUUUUUUGAGUAUUUUAGAAAGGAUCGGUUAGGAGAGGGAGGUAUCUGUAAUUGAAUAACUAUAAGCCAACCCUUCUAGCAAUGGGGCCUAGGGACCGAUAUGAUGAUUGGUUUAGGUAUGGCGGUCGGCCUACUACGG
rnacentral:lncRNA from 1 species